AUGGUACUGGUAUUUUAAACAGCCUCCUUUGCUUUAACAUGGAGGUACCUGCUGCCUAAAAAAAGUAAGUGCUUCCAUGUUUCAGUGGUGGUGGUAGUUCCUAAUAUCUAAGACCUGC
rnacentral:precursor_RNA from 14 species